GGGUCAGUAGGUUGGUCGUGCCACCGGUACGUACUGGUCUCACUGAUUCCUCCUUCCUGAAGAACCGUAAUGCCAUUAAUUUGGUGUUGCGGGGAAACAGGACUGUUACUUUGAAAAAAUUGGAGUGUUUAAAGCAAGCUAACGCUUGAAUACAUGAGCAUGGAAUAAUGAAAUAGGACGAUCGAUCCUAUUUUGUUGGUUUCUAGGAUUGACGUA
rnacentral:rRNA from 1 species